rnacentral:rRNA from 1 species
GACAGAGGUGCCAAGCGUUAGGCGGAAUCACUGGGCUUAAAGCGUGUGUAGGCGGAUCGUUAAGUACCUUGUGAAAUCCCACGGCUUAACCGUGGAACUGCUCGGUAUACUGGCGGUCUUGAGCAGCCUAGGGGCGAGCGGAACAAAUGGUGGAGCGGUGAAAUGCGUAGAUAUCAUUUGGAACGCCAAUGGUGAAAACAGCUCGCUGGGGGUUUGCUGACGCUGAGACACGAAAGCCAGGGGAGCAAACGGG